AUGCCUGGCCGUAAAAUAUUCACUUACACCACAAACCGCCCGGGAAUUACAAGCCCAAGCUUAAAACCCAAAGGACUUGACGGUGUCCCACCCACCUAGAGGAGCCUGUUCUAUAAUCGAUUCCCCCCGAUACACCCCACCCCUUCUAGCCACUCAGUCUGUAUACCUCCGUCGCAAGCUUACCAUGUGAACGAAAUAAGUGAGCUUAAAGGCCCCCCCGCCAACACGUCAGGUCAAGGUGCAGCUCACGAAGCGGAAAGAAAUGGGCUACAAUCUCUAUCUUAGAACAAACGAAAGACUACAUGAAAAACAGUCAUGAAGGCGGAUUUAGUAGUAAAAAGAAAAUAAAGUGUUCUUUUUAAUUAGGCCCUGGGACGCGUACACA
rnacentral:rRNA from 1 species